GAACUAAUGAUUUAUUUUGUCUUUUGCGUGUUGGGUCUUGCAAAAGAAAACUCUGAAAAUGCCAUUUCAGACCAUCUAGAGACUCCAGAUUUUCGAAAUUUUCUCAAAUGUUCUGCCUUCAUUUCCGCGCAACUGCCAUUUACGACGAAAAUUCCCGCCGCGCAUUUAUAAUACUACAGUCUGGCCCAUGCUUUCCUGUAAAUUUCGACAUACUAAAACGCUGUUCUCUGACUAUCAGAAUUCUGUUAAAUCUUCCCCCAAAGUCCAGGAAAUGGCAUUUUAGAGACUCUAAAUUUAAAAAUUUCCUCGGGCCUUCGGCCCUCGCUUUCAGCCCCCCCCAAUCGGAAAGAGCUUCCUACGGCCCUGUGACGUGACGUGACGCCGGCGCCAUUCUUUUUUACAAGAUUCCGCAGGCCCUCGCCAGAGUGUGUGUGACCUUCCCAUGACGCCACGAGGGCCUGCGGAGGAGGCAGACAUUGAUUUGUUGUCAUUUGCCCGUGUAUGCCCUGCUCCCCCGUUGGGGGAAGACAUUGAUAGGUGCAUAAGUGGAAUGGCUCGGUCACAAAUAUCAAG